GCUGGCGUAGCUCAACGGCAGAGCACCCGCCUUGUAAGCGGAAGGUUGUCGGUUCAAGUCCGACCGCCAGCUCCA
rnacentral:tRNA from 1 species